rnacentral:rRNA from 1 species
GACGAACGCUGGCGGCGUGCCUAAUACAUGCAAGUCGAACGCAGUGGGGACGGGUGAGUAACACGUGGGUAACCUCCCAUCAGAGGGGAUAACACUUGGAAACAGGUGCUAAUCCGAUACUGAUGGAUGUAACCGCUGUGCAUUAGCUAGUUGGAGAGGUAACGGGCCACCAAGGCCACGAUGCAUAGGCGUGUCGAGAGGGUGGUCAGCCACGCUGGGACUGAGAAAAGGCCCAGACUCCUACGGGGGGCAGGAGUAGGGAAUCUUCGGCAAUGGACGAAAGUCUGAACGAGCCACGGCGCGGGGUUUAAGAAGGUUCUCGGGUCGUAAAACUCUGUUGUGAGGGAAGCGGUAUCGAACCAGAAAGCCACGGCUAACUACGUGCCAGCAGCCGCGGUAAUAC